CUUGGUCAUUUUAAGGAGUAAAAGUCGUAACAAGGUUUCCGUAGGUGAACCUGCGGAAGGAUCAUUAUCGAAAUUAUUGGUGAGGGUUGUAGCUGGCCUUUCGAGGCAUGUGCACGCUCGAGCCCUUAAUCCACUUUACACCUGUGCACUUAAUGUAGGUCGCCCUUAAAAAAGGUGACCUAUGUCUUAUCAUCAACCCAUCGUAUGUCUCAUAGAAUGUAAUCGAUAUCCUCGCCCUAAAAAAGCGUUGAUAAACUUAUACAACUUUCAACAACGGAUCUCUUGGCUCUCGCAUCGAUGAAGAACGCAGCGAAAUGCGAUAAGUAAUGUGAAUUGCAGAUUUUCAGUGAAUCAUCGAAUCUUUGAACGCACCUUGCGCUCCUUGGUAUUCCGAGGAGCAUGCCUGUUUGAGUGUCAUUAAAUUCUCAACUCCAAGGGUUUCACGACCUUUCGGAGAUUGGACUUGGAGGUGCUGGCCGCAUAUUGGUCGGCUCCUCUCAAAUGCAUCAGCGGAAUUCAACCUUUGGCUUCCGGAUGUCAGUGUGAUAAUCAUGUUGCGCUGUCGUUUGAUCCCUCAGAGUCCGCUUAUAAUGGUCUUCGGACAAAAUCAUCAUCAAAUUUGACCUCAAAUCAGGUAGGACUACCCGCUGAACUUAAGCAUAUCAAUAAGCGGAGGA
rnacentral:rRNA from 1 species